UACGUAGGGUGCGAGCGUUAAUCGGAAUUACUGGGCGUAAAGCGCGCGUAGGCGGUCAUUUAAGUUCGGGGUGAAAGGUUCAGCGCUCAACGCGAACAGUGCCUUGAAUACUGGGUGACUUGAGUUCGGGAGAGGGCAGUGGAAUUCAUGGUGUAGCAGUGAAAUGCGUAGAGAUCAUGAGGAAGACCAGUGGCGAAGGCGGGUCUCUGGACAGUUCCUGACACUGAGGCACGAAGGCCAGGGGAGCAAACGGG
rnacentral:rRNA from 1 species